AGAAUCAACGCUGGCGGCGUGCCUAACACAUGCAAGUCGAACGAGAAAGUGGAGCAAUCCAUGAGUAAAGUGGCGACCGGGUGAGUAACACGUGACUAACCUACCUUCGAGUGGGGGAUAACCUCGGGAAACCGGGGCUAAUACCGCAUAAAAUCUUUGGAUCGGAAGAACUGGAGAUCAAUGGAGCAAUUCGCUUGAAGAGGGGGUCGCGGCUGAUUAGCUAGUUGGCGGGGUAAUGGCCCACCAAGGCUUUGAUCGGUAGCCGGCCUGAGAGGGCGCACGGCCACACUGGAACUGAAACACGGUCCAGACUCCUACGGGAGGCAGCAGUGGGGAAUUUUGCGCAAUGGGGGAAACCCUGACGCAGCAACGCCGCGUGGAGGAUGAAGUCCCUUGGGACGUAAACUCCUUUCGACCGGGACGAUUAUGACGGUACCGGUGGAAGAAGCCCGGCUAACUUCGCGCCAGCAGCCGC
rnacentral:rRNA from 1 species